UACAGAGGGUGCAAGCGUUGUUCGGAAUUAUUGGGCGUAAAGGGCGCGUAGGCGGUGCGGUAAGUCUGUAGUGAAAUCUAUGGGCUCAACUCAUAGACUGCAUGAGAAACUGCCGGGCUUGAGUAUGGGAGAGGUGAGUGGAAUUCCUGGUGUAGCGGUGAAAUGCGUAGAUAUCAGGAGGAACACCUGUGGCGAAAGCGGCUCACUGGACCAUAACUGACGCUGAUGCACGAAAGCUAGGGGAGCAAACAGG
rnacentral:rRNA from 1 species